rnacentral:misc_RNA from 1 species
ACCAAGAUGAAGGCCGCGCGCCGGUUCUUCGACGAUGGUGACAAGGUAAAGGUGACUUUGCGAUUCCGUGGCCGCGAAAUGGCGCAUAUGGAACUCGGCAUGAAGUUGCUCAACCGGGUGCGCGAAGAGACAACCGAGAUUGCCAAGGUGGAAGCCGAGCCGAAGCUCGAAGGCCGCCAGAUGAUGAUGGUGCUCGCGCCACGCGCGUGAGCGUCGAAACCAGCAUAGCUGUUGCGCUUUGACGGAGUCCCCGUUAUACAGCGCGCGUUAA